UCACCAGCUUCAGGCUUGGCUUUGAAGAGGAUCUGGUGUUAGUGGUUUUGUUUGCUGUGCUGUGAGAGCUGCUGCAGGAAACUGAGCAGAGAGUUUGAACAAGCUGGAAAACCACAACAUGGACCAGUAAGACAAUUGAGAAAUGUCUGUGCAAGUCUGGGACCUGACCUUGAUGACCAUAUGAAGACCCCACGAAGUUGCCUUCUGGUCUCCCCAUAUCUGUCAUGACCUAAAAACCCAUAUUCACAUUACACAUACACAACAGAAAUGUUUUCUGUUUGUUUUAUUUUGUUUUUAAUAAAUCUCACUGCCAUUAUA